rnacentral:rRNA from 1 species
UACGGGGGGGGCAAGCGUUGUUCGGAAUUACUGGGCGUAAAGGGCUUGUAGGUGGCCAACUAAGUCAGACGUGAAAUCCCUCAGCUUAACUGGGGAACUGCUUCUGAUACUGGAUGGCUUGAGUUUGGGAGAGGGAAGCGGAAUUCCAGGUGUAGCGGUGAAAUGCGUAGAUAUCUGGAGGAACACCGGUGGCGAAGGCGGCAUCCUGGACCAACACUGACACUGAAAAGCGAAAGCCAGGGGAGCAAACGGG